rnacentral:rRNA from 1 species
GAUGAACGCUGGCGGCGUGCAUAACACAUUCAAGUCGAACGGUGACGAGGACUUCGGUCCUCUGAUCAGUGGCGGACGGGUGAGUAACGCGUGAGCAACCUGCCUAUCAGAGGGGGAUAACAGUUGGAAACGGCUGCUAAUACCGCAUGACACAUUGAUAUCGCAUGGUAUUGAUGUCAAAGAGAAAUCGCUGAUAGAUGGGCUCGCGUCUGAUUAGAUAGUUGGUGGGGUAACGGCCUACCAAGUCGACGAUCAGUAGCCGGACUGAGAGGUUGAGCGGCCACAUUGGGACUGAGAUACGGCCCAGACUCCUACGGGAGGCAGCAGUGGGGAAUAUUGGGCAAUGGGGGAAACCCUGACCCAGCAACGCCGCGUGAAGGAAGAAGGCCUUCGGUUGUAACGUUCUUAAGUGGGUAAGAGUAGUGACGGUACCACAGAAUAAGACCACGGCGUAACUACGUAGCCAGCAGCCGCGGU